rnacentral:lncRNA from 1 species
GUUUUAGAUGGGGCGAACCUCAACAAAACUUAUAUGGGGCAGACAUAAGAGAUAAAGAAAUAUGGGACGAACUUGUAAGUUUGCUAUGCUUCUCCUAGUGCCUGUCUUAAAGAAGAAAUCUAAAAGUCAAAAACUCAUCUUACCAAUGGGAUUAUCGGCCUCAUAAUUAGAAAAAAAGUAUGGUAUCCUCUUUUCUCCUCAUUUUCAGAUCAUAUUUUUAUCGGUAUAUAGGAAUGGCAAAAUCGACCCGAUCCGAUGGGUAUGCACCAUAUCCUAAUCCGAUCAAACCCAAAAAUAGAGUUUGACCGGAUUUGAGAAAAAUCCGAAAACUGUAGUGCACGGGUAUGGAUAGAGUAUGGGUAGUGCUGUUUUCUACCCAAACUCGAAUCCGAACCCGAUCUAAACCUAUGGAUACGAGUAUAUCCGAACCCAUACCCCAAUGUAUAUGUUUAUAAUUAUGUUUUGGUAAUUCUGUUUUGGUAAUUCUGUUUUGGUUGAUAAUAUACAUAAAAUUAUUUUGAUUAUUUAUAUAUUCUAUGUUGAAUUAUAAUUCUAUUUUUAUGUUUGAUUUCUAUAAAUCUGAAUUUAUAAAUUAUGUUCUAUGUUAAAUUGAUAA